rnacentral:rRNA from 1 species
UACAGGGGGGGCAAGCGUUGUUCGGAAUUACUGGGCGUAAAGGGCCCGUAGGCGGCCGACUAAGUCCGACGUGAAAUCCCAAGGCUUAACCUUGGAACUGCGUCGGAUACUGGUGGGCUUGAAUUCGGGAGAGGGAUGCAGAAUUCCAGGUGUAGCGGUGAAAUGCGUAGAUAUCAGGAGGAACACCGGUGGCGAAGGCGGGUCUCUGGGCCAUUACUGACGCUGAGGAGCGAAAGCGUGGGGAGCAAACAGG